AUUGAACGUUGGCGGCAUGCUUUACACAUGCAAGUCGAACGGUAACAGGCCGCAAGGUGCUGACGAGUGGCGAACGGGUGAGUAAUGCAUCGGAACGUGCCCAGUCGUGGGGGAUAACUACUCGAAAGAGUAGCUAAUACCGCAUACGAUCUAUGGAUGAAAGCGGGGGACCGUAAGGCCUCGCGCGAUUGGAGCGGCCGAUGUCAGAUUAGGUAGUUGGUGGGGUAAAGGCUCACCAAGCCAACGAUCUGUAGCUGGUCUGAGAGGACAACCAGCCACACUGGGACUGAGACACGGCCGAGACUCCUACGGGAGGCAGCAGUGGGGAAUUUUGGACAAUGGGCGCAAGCCUGAUCCAGCAAUGCCGCGUGCAGGAAGAAGGACUUAGGGUUGUAAAGUGCUUUUGUACGGAACGAAACGGCGCUGGUUAAUACCCGGGGAUAAUGACGGUACCGUAAGAAUAAGCACCGGCUAACUACGUG
rnacentral:rRNA from 1 species